GAACGGAAAAAUAUAAAUUAACAAACCUAGAAGUCCUGUUUUCUGAAAUUCGAUUACAUUUUAAAAUAUAAAUUGCUGUUGGGCCAAGCUGAUAUAUUUUCUCGUUUUUUCUCAGGCUUUCUGGGGAACUACAUUGCUCGUAAAUUCGAAAUACUCAUCUCUUAGUCCUUCACACGUCUACUUCUCUUCUACUACAUUCUCCUUUGUCUAAGAAGAUGCAGUCAAAUUAUAAACACGAAUGGCUUUCUGGGGAACUACAUUGCUCAAAAAUUUGAAAUACUCGUCUCUUAGUCCUUCACACGUCUACUUCUCUUCUACUAUAUUCUCCUUUAUCUAAAAAGAUGCAGUCAAAUGAUUAACACGAGUGGCUUCUUGGGGGAACUACAUCGCCUCAAAAACUCGAAAUACUCAUCCCUCAGUCAAUUAUACGUCUACUUCUCUUCUACUACUACUCCACGUGCCUAAGAACAAUAACACCUCCAGCUGAGGACCUAAUACCUAAUACCUUGCGCACUGCGCAAGGUAGAUGCGCAGAGGAUGCUCCAUCGUACUUCGUUCCGUGCGGAUGCGUACGAAACCUAUACACAAAAGUUCGAAAAGGAUUAUUAGACCGCUCGUGGUAGAUCCGGCGUUAAUCGCAGUCGAACAGGCCAGCAAAGGACAAGGAAGAGCCUCGGCGUGAUCGUGGUCGUCGUGCAUCGAGGAGACGAAUCGAGCUCGCUGGUAAUCUCUUGAACGCAAAGGGACGCGAAACACGCGAGAACGCGGCCCGAAAGCGAAAAAGCAGAGAGCAAUUUGGUCGGUGGCUUUAACGAUUCCGUGAGAACGUCGCGGAAGGGAGGCUAAAGGCUGUCGCGAAAUUAGAAGCGCUCAAACAGGAGAGAGGUUUUAAGGUGUUAUUCGCGAGACGAGACGCUUCUUUCCCUCUUGAAGGUUAUCUGCGCGCUUGAAAAAUUCCACUUUGGCGGUUUCGCUCGCGAGUAGACGGCCAAGAGGAAAAUCCUAGUAACGAAGGUACCGCCGUGAAGUGUUACGCAUCAGUUUUAAUGGGGCUAGGUUGGUAGACGGAGGAACGAGAAAUUUUAGGUUCGCGAGCUCGUGGCGUUCUUCAGAAUUCUUAUUUCCGGGAGAGAAUACUUCUUUUUUCUUACGUGCCAUUGGAAAAAUAAGCAUUUCCGAAUCGAGAUUUCCUCCACCUCUUGGGACCCUCGAGCAACGGCAAGCCUGAGCCAGCAAGUUCCGACGUUCGUACGACGACCGCUUUCGACGAAACUAUCCUCUCGAAUGGGUCCCGGAACCUCUUUCCCUAGACAAGUCGUUUCUUUCACGUGCCAGACCAUAAUCAGGUGGCUUUCGCGUACCUACCACUCUUAGAUUCCGAUUUAUUUCAAUGUUCGGUUCUACUACAAUUCGAUACUUAGAAACUAGAUUACCUCUGCGUCCUUACUUCCGUUGAAUUGCGUUACGAAAAAGCUCGAGAGAGGAGUUUUGGUGUGCCUUUUAAAGGUUUGUGUUUCAGGAUUCAGAAGGUGGUGGAAAUAAGGGGAAGAAGCAAUGAGAAUAGUUGGAUGUUAACACUUUAUUCACCGGGAGCCUAUUUAUAGGCUUUUUCAUUUCAGUAUUUAGCUAUUCGAAUUUAUUUACUUUGUCGAUGGUUGUCUACUUACAAUGAUCGGUGUUUGGAAACAGACUUGGCUUUCGAUGUACCCAGUAACAGUAUGGAGGAAUUAUUGUCAGCCUAGAUUGGCAUACGCUACUGUAGAAAAUUCUUUUUUAGGAUGGAAAAAAAUAAUUGAUUCUAUCCAACUUUUUAUCCUAUUUUCAUACAUAUUUGAGUAGUCUGUACAAAUUUCUUCAACAAGAAAUAUUCAAAUUGAGUCGACUGCGACGCACAUUUGUACAGCACCUCACAAUUGAAACCUCCUA